rnacentral:piRNA from 1 species
UNCAUGUAGCUAAGCGUCUAUAUUUAGGUC